AUUUAUUGUUGUGAAUAAAAUUCAAGGACCUUAAACUACGUGAUGAGAGGAGCAGUGCCCUUGAGUUUCAGGGCUUUGUCCUUUACCUCCCGGGGCAGGAGAGACCAGAGCUUGUGGAUGCUGACCAUGGCCCAGUCGUCAUUUCUCUGCUCUCUGUCUUCGGCCGCACGAAACCUUAAUACAAGAAAAUUAUCUUCAUAAAAGAGAAAAAAAACUGAACUUCAUUAUUCUUUUAGUUAUGUAGUUUCUCAAACCACGUAUCUGAAGCAACCAACCAACGUAGCAAACACAAACAUUUAUGGAUGGAAUAACCGCAUUUAACUGCUUCAACAAGGUUUUGGCAAAAACUUCACUCUUCUUCGUUAAUGUUUUCUUCCUUUUGAAUAUUCUUUAUUGUCAUGACUGUGCUACCAUUUCUGAAAGUUUUCUGCAUUUUGAAAGUGUGUAAUCGCGAUCUCUUCUGUUCUUUGCUACCCUUUGGUAUUUCUUUCCUGUGCGUCUCUCUUCUUUUUCCUGCUCCCUCCGCUAAUACAAACAAAGGUAUGUAUAUAUAGUAUUUACAUUUGAAGCACCGAGACUUAUUGUCAUGACUGUGACUUACAUUGCAUUUGAAACUGAACUGUACACAACUCAAGAAGGAAACACAAAAGUUGUUUAUAUGUAAUAACAUCACUUCGCAUUCAGUCUGUUCUGAAAGAAAAUAUAAGUAAAGAAUUUCAGACUUGGAACAAGUAAAUGGAAUUUGAAGGUUGUUUUACUGACUUUAUACUUACUCCAUUUCUUUUGUGUUAUUUUUUAACAUCAGCAUCCUGCAAUAGAUUUUUUUAUUGUCAUACAUUGUUUUCUCAAAAAUUUGAGUCUGCUAUUAGAAGUUAAUAUAUUGAUUGUUAUUUGCAGUAACAUUUUUCAUGCAUGUAUAUUUAUUCUUUUGCCAUAUUUUGUAUUUGAUUUCAGAAUUUCUCACGGCUACAGCAGUCUGCAUUACGUUUAGUUGACAUGGAAAUUCCAGUAAAGAAGCAAUGUUGGAAACCUAAUGAAUUCAAAAGUUACAAUUUCUUCUUUCUAAUUCCAUUUCUAAAUUUUAGGGAAUAACUGAUCCUAUGCUUUACAUUGGAAUUUUGUUCAGUAUGUUUGCAUGGCCUGUAGAAGAUCAUUGUACAGCAUAAAUUAUCAUCACUCAGGUGAAAGUAAAACCUGGUAUGGAGUGCCUGGCUAUGAAGACUCUCAUUUUGAAAAGACUGUCUUACAACAAGUGUAUUGCAAUAUGAUCUUAACAAAACAUGGAGAUGCUGGAGCUUUCAGGUUUCUUGCACAAAAAACUUCCAUGUUCCCACCAAAUGUUAUGUUACAACAUGAUGUGGAAGUUUACAAGGCUGUACUGAAUCUAGGAAAGUUUGUCACACCUUUCCUAGAGCAUAUCAUGCUGGAUUUAGUCAUGGGAUUGUUAUGUGGCUUACCUGCUAUGCAAGUACUUCUUUUCUCAUCCAAUUUGUCUUUGCCAUGACAUUGCACCGCAUACUUGUGUAUGUGGAAGGUAUUAUUCUAUUUUCAAAAGGAAUGCUGCAAUGAAACAUUCUCAGUAUCAAGUUUAUUCUCCUGUAACAGAAAUGAAUGCAUCAAACAUCUUGAGGAUAAUCCUUGGCAGCAAGAAAAGAGUGUGAGAGGAACUGCUAAUUCUCCAGGUGCAGCAUCUAAACCGAAAACACAAGUAGCUGACUGCAUUAAGCACAGUGUUGAAAAUAAGACAAGAAUGCUGCAUUGGACAAACAAUGGGCCUCCAUCUGUGAAGGGUACCAAUAGCCCAGAAAUCAUUUAUAACUUGAGAAAAUGGAAAUCAAAUUGAUUCUAUAAAUUCCUGCAACAACUUCUGCGGGAAAACAUCCAAAAAUUGAGUCUGAAAAAGUAAAAUAAGCUAUUAACAUGUAGCGAUAUCCAAAAUAUAAGGAUAAAAAUUGGUUCAUAAGCGUUCACCAAAAUAUUGUGUUGUCAAUAUUUAAGGGAAGUGAACAAAGUCACCUCCGAGACAUGUGGGGGCAAAGCUACAAGA